CUCUCUCUCUCUCUCUAUCUCUCUCUCUCUAUCUGCAUUGCAGCCCCCCUCCUGUAAGUGCUAGGCUGCUGCUGCUGAAAAUUUAGCAACACAAAUGGCGACUCCCAACUCAACCACAACAACACCUUCCUCCUCUUCCUCUUAUUCAUCCUCAUCUUCUACUUCCAGCCGCAGCAGCAGCAUUAACUCGGGAUCUACAGCACAUCAUCACCAGUCCCAGUCUCAGCAUAUAACCACCAUGAGCAGCAUACAGGAGACCAACACAUGCUGGAGGUGUCAGAGUGAUACAGGUAGCUACUGUCCACAUUUCUAGUAGUUAGGAAUGCAAUCAUUCUGUUCUCUGCCGAAUGUAGAACUUCUGUCUUCUGUCCCCCAUUUCUCAUUUUGUUUAGACUUUGUGAAUCUCUGGGUUUCAUUUCACAAAGCAGGAUGACUUCUAACGAAGCUGGACCCACUCUAGUUCCUCUAACCUCACUUCCCCCCCAGUCAUGACAUUUGUGACACCGAUAGCAACAUUUUCAGUUCUUCUGAGCAAUUUUACUGUAAUUUCUGUAAUGAAAUGUUCAGGUGUUUAAGUUUUUUUUAAAGUUACUAAUCCACUGAUCCAAUAACAAGUGAGCAGCACAAUUUACAAGUGUGAACAAGACAUGUUGUUGUUGUUAUUAGAAGGGGUGUCCACAAACUUAUGACUGUAUAGGCUGUGUUCAAACAGCAGGACAAAGUAUCCCAAAUGUAUAGGUGACAGAGAUGUGUUGCUUGUGUGUCAGUAUGCGUUUCAAAAAACACACUGAUUCAGCAGUGAGUCGAGGGCUGAUGACUCUGUUCCAAUUAUAUUAGAAAAUUUGUGUCACAGCUCAAAAAACAAAAUAAAAAAAGAAGUGGGUGUGGCUGAAUAAUGCA
rnacentral:lncRNA from 1 species